GGGCCCGGGCCUUGGCCUUGUAGCUGCUCAGGUUACACAGGAUGUCCGAGCUCAGCGCCUCCUCGCUCAGAAGCCGCUGGCACACGCUCCUCCAAACCUCGCUGUUCUCGUCCGUCUCCAGGCAGCGGUUCCAGUGGCGGCAAACCAGCGAGCAGCUCAACAGCUCGGGCAGCUCCAGGUAGGAGAAGAGCAGCUCCAACACCCGGGCCGGCAGCUUCCCUGCCGCCAUCUUCCCCCGCCCCCCCGGGGCCGGCGGGGGGUGCGGGCGUGCGCGGCCCCGACAACGUCCAACGGGUCCUGCGUGCGCGCCACCCCUGGGGGCAGCAAGGCCUGCGACCGCGCGGGGCUGUGAUGUCAUGACGCACCACCGGGAACGUGCCCGCCCCUCACACGUCAUGGCCCAACCCGUGGCCGGGCUGGCCCACGUGACCCCCGCCCUCAUCGGAACAAUGACGUGAGAAUCACAAACCCGGAAGCGACUCCAACAAAACAAAAUGCAAGUGCUGGAGAAAACUUCAGCAGGUCUGGCAACCGACAGUUAAUGUUUCCAGGCAAAACAAAACCCUGCAGAUGCUGGAAACCAUGGUGGACAAACGGGAUGCUGGAAGAACACAGCAAGCUAGGCAGCAUCUGGAGGAACGGAAAAGUCAACGUUUCGGAUAUUACCCUUCUCCAGUCCUGAAGAAGGGUAAUACCCAAAACGUUGACUUCUCCUUUCCAGUCUGGUAUGAAUCUUCAUCAGAACUGAUACAACUAGGAAAAAGUGAUGUUUGUGGUGAAGACAGAUUGCAGGUGUGGUGAGUGGAUGGAUGGCGAACAAGCCCACACAGAGAGAUAUGAAAGAGAUUGUGGUUCAACACAGUUCCGUCGCUGCUGAUGGCCCACAGCACCUCAUGAAUUACUAGUUUCAAGUUUGCUGGAUCUGUUUGAAAUCUAUCCCAGUCAGCACGGUGCUAGUAUCACAUAACACAAUGGAGUGUUAGCCUCAGUUUGAAGAUAGAACUUCAUCUUUGCUCAGAUUGUGCAGUGGUCACUACCAAUAUUCAUGGACAAAUGCAUCUACGACAGGUAGAAUUUUGAGGAUGGGGUCAAAUAAAUUUUCCCUCUGUUUUGAAGAUGAAUGAAGGCGAGGUGUUGCAUUGUUAAUUUUGGGAAGAUACUUUAUUGCACAACAAGCAAAACAUUCAGAACAUGAAAUAUGAUUAAAGUCAAUUGAUAUAAUCAA